rnacentral:rRNA from 1 species
GACGAACGCNGGCGGCGUGCUUAACACAUGCAAGUCGAACGAAGAGCGAUGGAAGCUUGCUUCUAUCAAUCUUAGUGGCGAACGGGUGAGUAACGCGUAAUCAACCUGCCCUUCAGAGGGGGACAACAGUUGGAAACGACUGCUAAUACCGCAUACGAUCUAAUCUCGGCAUCGAGGAUGGAUGAAAGGUGGCCUCUAUGUAUAAGCUAUCACUGAAGGAGGGGAUUGCGUCUGAUUAGCUAGUUGGAGGGGUAACGGCCCACCAAGGCGAUGAUCAGUAGCCGGUCUGAGAGGAUGAACGGCCACAUUGGGACUGAGACACGGCCCAGACUCCUACGGGAGGCAGCAGUGGGGAAUCUUCCGCAAUGGACGAAAGUCUGACGGAGCAACGCCGCGUGAGUGAUGACGGCCUUCGGGUUGUAAAGCUCUGUUAAUCGGGACGAAAGGCCUUCUUGCGAAUAGUGAGAAGGAUGAC